GUUAGUAAUUUAUUUAUUCAGGCUUGGAAAUGUACUGAGAAGUCUACAUUAAGGUACACUUGACAAUAACUAUGUAAAAUAUGUGCGCCUUCAUGUUCUAGGUGGAGAGACAAACAGGACUACAUUCUGAGAUGACAGAUGUCACCUUUCACUGAGUUCUCUGGAUUCCAGGCUUUUCGCAGCCUCUCAUUAAAUGGUUCUGUGAUAUGAACGCCCCCUCCCAAGACCUACAAAGCAAUGUGGAAGAUGAACAAAUGAUGUGCUGAAUUUUCCCUGACUUGGAAUCGGGGUCAUUCAAUAAAUAAGGAUAGUAGAAGAUG